rnacentral:rRNA from 13 species
ACAGGAUUAGAUACCCUGGUAGUCUAUUCCGUAAACUAUGAAUGCUCGUGUUUAGAAUUAAUAUUUUAGACACCAAGCUAACGCGUUAAGCAUUCCGCCUGAGGAGUAUAGUCGCAAGGCUGGAACUCAAAGGAAUUGACGGGGGCCAAUACAAACGGUGGAGCAUGUGGUUUAAUGCGAUAAUACGCGCGAAAUCUUACCAGCUUUUGAAUUUUAGAUAAUAUUAUUUUAACAGAAGUCGAUAAUUUAUUCAAAUAUUGUUUUGAGUAAAAAUUUAAAACAGGUGUUGCAUGGCUGUCGUC